rfam:Triticum aestivum genome assembly, contig: Triticum_aestivum_CS42_TGACv1_scaffold_120740_2AS
AAAGUACUCCCUCCGUCCCAAAAUUCUUGUCUUAGAUUUUUCAAGAUACGAAUGUAUCAAGUCACAUUUUAGUAUUAGAAACAUCCGUAUCUAGACAAAUCUAAGACAAGAAAUUUGGGACAGAGGGAGUAGUUG